UACAGAGGGUGCAAGCGUUGUUCGGAAUUAUUGGGCGUAAAGCGCGUGUAGGCGGCUUUGCAAGUCGGGUGUGAAAGCCCUCAGCUCAACUGAGGAAGUGCGCCCGAAACUGCAGAGCUUGAGUGUCGGAGAGGAUGGCGGAAUACCCCAAGUAGAGGUGAAAUUCGUAGAUAUGGGGUGGAACACCGGUGGCGAAGGCGGCCAUCUGGACGACAACUGACGCUGAGACGCGAAAGCGUGGGGAGCAAACAGG
rnacentral:rRNA from 1 species